UAUUCACUGUGCAUGGAAUGUGUGCACCUGCAUGUCAUAUUGUUACUAGAGCUGGAAAAUGGUUCCUUUGAACUCUCUUAACCAUACUUCGUCUCGGAUGUUUCAUACAGCUCUGGGAAACACACAGAGACAAAUGCAUUGAUCCGAGCACUGGUCUGUUUCGUGAGGGCUCAGGAAACUCUAAGCUCUUUCAAAACCCAUGUGCCGAUGUCCUUGGCUUUCCAAAUAGUACCUACAACUUCUGAGGUAGAGUAUAAUUUUGCACCAACCUAACAACAAAGUGGUAGGCUGUUAUUAUGCAAAAGUGUUGAUUUCUUUCGAAACCUCUUCUGGCCAUUCCUCUCAGAGGACUGGCAGUUAUAAGUGGCUUAUAACUUUAUGUUAAUACAUGCUUUGCACGCAAUGUCAUUCCUACUUGUUCUGGCCAAGAAGUACAAGUUUGAAGGUGUGAAAUUUAUGCUGCAGAAGGUACGAGCACAGGAGCAUGGUACGGAGUAAUGACUGCUGAUGUAACGAAAAUGCAAGCCGCUCAUCGGGGAGAUAAAAAAAGUACUGGGUGGCCUCUUGGCCAUGUCUGAUAUUUGCCGCUAGUACCGCAAAUAAUUCCCAUAUUACACACUUGAGUACCUAUGCAUACCAUGAUUUGAAAGACACUCAGAGUGGGAAUGAAGAGGACCAUCAGUUUACUUUAUUUAAAAAAAAGACUGCAUUUAUUGUACUUUACUUCAACUGCAUCUCGCCCUGUAUACUUACUACUCAACUUGAUGUACAUGAUUACUCCAACUUCACUUCAAGUAGUUUUUAGAUAUGCUUUACUUUAUGAAACACUGCUUAAAACUUUAAAUGGACACUAACUCAGACAAUUAAGUUAGGCUGACAGUCAGGUUUGGUGCUGUAGUGUAGAGGUUAAUAGUUGGGCACUCUCAGCUAUCUGGGCAGGUUCUUGCCAAGUUCAUGAACCAGCAGGCGCAGAACAUCGUGCAGAAGAUGGCCGGGGCCAGAAUUCAGCGGGAGUACUAGGGGACAACAAUGAAGGCUUCUUCAAGCGCUGGCUGGACCAUCAAAAGUUCCACCAGCCAUGCUCUGUGAGGUUGAGUUUCCUCCACUUUGCUCUCCCGCUGCUUCCGCACCACCUCUGCCACUUGCUUCUGCUGCUUCCUCCCCUGAGAGUACCUGUGCACCUUGUGAAGCAGCUGCUGAUGAGGUGCAGAGAUGUCAAAAUCUACAGGCUCUCCUGAACCAGGUGCUUGCAUGGCCUCUGAGCUCGUUUUGGACAGAAGCCAACCAGUUGUCACAUAUGGAAAGGCUGAGCGGAGGCACAGACGAGGCAAGCCUUCUGAUGUGCCAGUGAAGUAGAGCCGUGGUGCUGGGUUAGGCUGGUUGGUGGUGUUUGAGUCCACAGCAAGGACAGUCAGGUAGGGCAAACCUGGGAGAGCAUGCCUCUUGCUAAUGCAGAGGAGUGCCUGAAAGCCACAUCUUCAAGGAGCACAGCUUCUUUGAGUGGAAAGGCUAUGCUCCGUUCCACCUUCGGUCUCAGCGCAGUGGACGCCACAAGCCAUUCCAGCCGAUCCAGCACCAGGAGAAAAUCGCGUGACCUGCCUGUUGGGCAGAGCGACACCCGUAGCUCAAGGUCACAUGCCACCCUCUCAACGCUGGAUUGGCUGGGAUGGCUCCUAUAGCGUCCACUGCGCUUGGACUGAAGGUGAAACGGAGUAUAGUGCAGGGGAGUGCCCGAAAACCACUUCCUUUGGAAGCACAGCUUUUGGAGGGAACGGUGAGUGUGAAGCUAGUGCAGAGGAGUGCCCAAAAGCCACUUCCUUGGGAAGCACAGCUUCUGUAAAGGCCUGCGAGCAAGCAGCCCUUGUCACUGCCGAUGCUUCGGGUAGAAAAGCUAGUGCAGAAUGCCUAAAACCACUUUCUUGGAAGUUGCAGCUUGUGCAGAGAAUGGUGAGCAUGAAGCUAGUGUAGAGGAGUGCCCAAAAGCCUCUUCCUCGGGGAGCACAGCUCCUGUAAAGACAUGGGAGCAAGCAGCCCGUGCCACUGGCAAUGCUUCGGGUGGGAAAGCUAGUGCAGAGAAGUGCUUAAAAGUCACUUCCUCGGGGAGCACAGCUGUAGAGGCUGGUAAGUGGGUGGCCUUUGAAGUGACUGAAACCAAGGUAACGUGCCCUUUCCAAAGCACGGUGGGAGGAGGAAAGCAGCGUGGGUGAAGUACAAGAGCACGAAGCGAGGGUCUCGCAGGCUGUGUAAGGCACUAAACCAUACUGCCACUAUUGCAUCUCCCCACAAUUGCUUGGGAUGGAGUAGACCCUGCAUAGGGUGCCUCUGUUCUUUGUAUGUGUCCGAUAAUCCAUUGUCUGGCUUGGGGGAGGACAGCCCAGCAUGUGCGACAAAGAGCAGGGCCACUGGAGGCAAGCAUCCCGUCACAGCCCUGCUGCAGAACCAUUUUCCUGCAGGCCUAGUUUAGCAACUAUCCAACCUAUCUAGCAGCAUUUGAAGACUGGACCAAAAAAGGGUUGCAUGUAUUUUUUAAAAAAAAAGGUCAAAGACAUGUUCACUAGUUCAAUCUGAUGAAUUUAAGUACUCCAUGGUUGAGUUCAUCUAGUCAAACCAACAGCUAACUCCUUGGCCCAAUGCGGUGAACGAGGGCUAAAUGAAAAAUUGAUUGAUAUUAAGGCGUUUCUUUUGCAACCUUCCCUAGCAACCAGGUGCAGCUCUUGCCAUAGUCUGUUGCACCCUGUGCAGCUUGAGAGGAUGUAUCUCAGCAGCGGCUAAUAGACAACAAUCGGUGGGGCAACCUUUUCCGAAAAACUGUGCAUUAGUUUGAUCAAACGCAGGAGGCAGACCACGAAAUGUGACAGUUAUAAGCAUGCACUUUCUGGAAUGCUCCACAACAAGGCACUUCGCCUUAGUACGAUAUGGGGCAGAGUUAAUUCCUCUCUACAGAAGUUAUUUACUUACUGAAAAAGAACGGGCAUGUGUAAGAUCCAACAGUUCUCUGUCUGAUAGUGUUAUGAAUAUUGUGCGUAAAUGUUUUACGUAACACAUAAAACAUUUCCACAUUGGGGUACUUUUCAAGCUGUUCUGUUAGCUGAGGGACUAAACUUCAAACAGGUGAGAGAUGCUUUCAUUCAGCUAUUGCAUACAAGAGUUCCAGACCAUUGGCAGUGAUGUGAUACUUGUGCCAAAGUACUACAUCUUGCUACAUUUGACCAAAAUCUGAGGAACUCGAGCCAACAUUGCGCCAAAACUUAAUUUUAACAACUUGCAAUUUGGCCGGAACGAUAGGAUUGUGUGAGUUUGCAGAUCUUUAGAAUAUUACGUCAUAUAACAUACUAACUCUGUCUGAUUUCGCAUCAAACACAGACAUUACUCGUGUAAGCGAGUGCCAUUGUGUUUUGCCUUUUUUCUUGUAUUUUGCCGGGCGCAUCCCUGAAGUCGCCUACGAAGCUCAGAGGGCACGAAUGUUGUGUUCUUAAAGGCUUGUGUUAACACUGACUCCUCGGCAUUAGGGGUCUCAAACAUGGAUUCCAGCGCCAUGAAGAUACAACUGGCUGGCGUCGAACCGGAUGCGGCAUGUGCCAGCCAGGAGAGACCAAGCACCGCGAGAGAACUAUACAGCAGUCUACCUGUGGGACUCUGAGCAAGAGCAUUGUGCGAUGGUGGUCUUUUGGAGGAGCCCGACUGCUAGAGAGCGUGCUCUAAGGUGUUGGAUAGAGAAACGGCUUCUGUCAGGAAGUUGUGAAAACAACUUCCAACUACAAGAUAAGCAUUCAUGCCCACGGACCAACAAGCUUCUUUUUUUUUGUUGUUAAUGUUCCUUUUUCUUUUUAGUUUGCAUUUAGUUCAUUUCUUUUUUUGUGCUUGUGGUAGGUCUUAUUUUGUUGAAAUAAACUUUUUGCAUCCAUUUCA
rnacentral:lncRNA from 1 species